rnacentral:rRNA from 1 species
CUUACACAUGCAAGUCGAGGGGUAUAGUUCUUCGGAGCUAGAGACCGGCGCGCGGGUGCGUAACGCGUAUGCAAUCUACCUUUUACAGAGGGAUAGCCCAGAGAAAUUUGGAUUAAUACCUCAUAGUAUGUGAGAAUCGCAUGGUUUUCACAUUAAAGUCACAACGGUAAAAGAUGAGCAUGCGUCCCAUUAGCUAGAUGGUAAGGUAACGGCUUACCAUGGCAACGAUGGGUAGGGGUCCUGAGAGGGAGAUCCCCCACACUGGUACUGAGACACGGACCAGACUCCUACGGGAGGCAGCAGUGAGGAAUAUUGGACAAUGGGCGCAAGCCUGAUCCAGCCAUGCCGCGUGCAGGAUGACGGUCCUAUGGAUUGUAAACUGCUUUUGUACAGGAAGAAACACUCCCUCGUGAGGGAGCUUGACGGUACUGUAAGAAUAAGGAUCGGCUAACUCCGUGCCAGCAGCCGCGGUAAUACGGAGGAUCCAAGCGUUAUCCGGAAUCAUUGGGUUUAAAGGGUCCGUAGGCGGUUUAAUAAGUCAGUGGUGAAAGCCCAUCGCUCAACGGUGGAACGGCCAUUGAUACUGUUAAACUUGAAUUAUUAGGAAGUAACUAGAAUAUGUAGUGUAGCGGUGAAAUGCUUAGAGAUUACAUGGAAUACCAAUUGCGAAGGCAGGUUACUACUAAUGGAUUGACGCUGAUGGACGAAAGCGUGGGUAGCGAACAGGAUUAGAUACCCUGGUAGUCCACGCCGUAAACGAUGGAUACUAGCUGUUGGGAGCAAUCUCAGUGGCUAAGCGAAAGUGAUAAGUAUCCCACCUGGGGAGUACGUUCGCAAGAAUGAAACUCAAAGGAAUUGACGGGGGCCCGCACAAGCGGUGGAGCAUGUGGUUUAAUUCGAUGAUACGCGAGGAACCUUACCAAGGCUUAAAUGUAGUUUGA